GUAAACUGCUUUUAUACAGGAAGAAACGACUCUUGCGAGAGGCAUUGACGGUACUGUAUGAAUAAGCACCGGCUAACUCCGUGCCAGCAGCCGCGGUAAUACGGAGGGUGCAAGCGUUGUCCGGAUUUAUUGGGUUUAAAGGGUGCGCAGGUGGUUUAUUAAGUCAGUGGUGAAAGACGGUCGCUCAACGAUUGCAGUGCCAUUGAAACUGGUAGACUUGAGUAAAGUAGAGGUGGGCGGAAUUGAUAGUGUAGCGGUGAAAUGCAUAGAUAUUAUCAAGAACUCCAAUUGCGUAGGCAGCUCACUUGGCUUUUACUGACACUCAUGCACGAAAGUGUGGGUAUCAAACAGGAUUAGAUACCCUGGUAGUCCACACUGUAAACGAUGAUAACUAGGUGUCGGCCGAAUCUGGUCGGUGCCACAGCGAAAGCGUUAAGUUAUCCACCUGGGGAGUACGCCGGCAACGGUGAAACUCAAAUGAAUUGACGGG
rnacentral:rRNA from 1 species